CACCCUGUACUUUCCUAUCUUAACGGUGUUCCUCAGCUCUCUGACUUAAGUCACACAAACAAAGAAAAAUGCCAGAAGAAGUUCCUGCUCAGUGCAAGGUUUCCAAAGAUGAGCUGGACAAAUGUGUUCAGGGGAAAGGCGCAGAGGGCUGUAAAGAGCUGCUGGAAGCCUUUGAGGCGUGCGUGAAGGGGGCCACGGCGGCCUCGUGAGGGGGACAUCAUUUUACAUGUCCUUCCUUUCUGGGUCCUCCAGUGUCCUUGCAUUCCCUCACAUUGUACUGGACUGAACCAUUUUGAGGACAGUGAAAGGGGUGCAAGUCCUGGAAAGCACUGGAACUGUUUAGUUUGAUCCCGAGAAGUCUUCUCGGUGUCCCUCAUGUCGUCCAUGUUAUUUGUAACUGUGAAAGAAAGAAGAACCCAGUUUUUAUUUUUGUUCAGAUUCACACUGUGAAAAAAGCAUAAUGCAUUUAAUCUGAUUUUGAAUAAAUGACUAUAAUUGUUUCUUUAUUUUGCCAUUACUCUCACACACUCAGAGGUAUAACAGGGAUAAGAUAACUGACACUAAAUGUCUGAACUGUAUGUGAUUGAUUUACCUUGAACUGGAGUGGUCUGCUUACUUGAUAACUCAUGCCAAGUACACUGCAGUGCUGCUCAUUCAGUGUAAGUGCCACUGACUGUCAGCACUAUCUAUUGAAGAAAUUCUAAAGGUGCUGACAAAACAAAUUAUCAUGCUGUUGCCAUGUAGUUUUUAUGGUAUACUGCUAGCCAGGACCUUCGUAAAAUUAGAAAAAGAUUCACUAAAAAACUGCAUUUUGUAUAACUGUGUUGACGCAUCAUGGUUGUGACAGCACAAUUACGUAAAAUAAAAAUAAUAAACCCAUCA